rnacentral:rRNA from 1 species
CUUUACUGUAGCCUGGUAUUGGGUUCGGGCUUUGACUGCGCAGGAUAGGUGGGAGACUAUGAAGCUGCCCUUGUGGGGGCAGUGGAGUCAUCAGUGAGAUACCACUCUGUCAAGGCUAGAAUUCUAACCGUCUGCCGUUAUCCGGCGACGGAACAGUAUCAGGUGGCAGUUUGACUGGGGCGGUCGCCUCCUAAAUGGUAACGGAGGCGCGCAAAGGUUCCCUCAGGCUGGUUGGAAAUCAGCCGAAGAGUGUAAAGGCAGAAGGGAGCUUGACUGCAAGAGCAACAACUCAAGCAGGGACGAAAGUCGGCCUUAGUGAUCCGACGGCGCUGAGUGGAAGGGCCGUCGCUCAACGGAUAAAAGUUA